rnacentral:rRNA from 1 species
GCUUUUAGUACGUAACCUACCUACGGGCCCGUAACUCUUCCUUCCUGCGAAAGUCUCCGCUUUCCGGUACCCCUCUCUAAAAAGACACUAGGUACCUAGAGGCUAGCCCUUUGGCAUAGGUUCGAGGCACCGAUCAGACGCGAGAAACCUGAAAAGUUUGAAUCGCUUGACUUUGUAGACUCAUCGAUUUCCUUCCUUUUAGUUGGCUCUGGGGCAAUCAUCGCCGCUCGCUCUCGCCUUGUUCCCAAAAGUAGUUUUCUUUAGGCUUCGCCAAAGUAAGCUAAACAACACCUAACCUACUACCUUUUUGGUCGUUCGUCGUUCGCAUCAAUCUUUUCAACGGCAUCACGCGGGAUGCCUCAACAUGUUUCAGUCGUUGGCAAAACCCCGCGUUCGUAUCCGUUGUGUCCUGACUACUGCCCCACCCCGCGCGUCACUUGACCAAAAGAUUUUUCUAACCUUCUAGGCCGGUUUCUUCCACUAUCGGGACAAGUAAGCAAGGGUACCAAGCUAGGAAGGGUCAUUUUGCGCCGCACAAGCUUACUACUAGCGAAAAUGCGCUCUUUCUCCCUGGUGGGAGAUUCGGAUUCAUAAGGAGUUACUGGCUAUCGCAUGUUCAUGGCACUCCCUUUCCACUUUUCUUGGGGUUAGCCCCUCACGUUAUCUCUUGGACUCUAGGCUACGCUUGUUAGUCAGCUUCCUCGCCUCGCGCCCGCGUGAGUGAGAUUGCCGCAUGGAAAGCGUACUACCCAGUCGCUCCUUUACCCUUGUCGCCGAAUUCGGUAAUCCACAUCCGCGAAAGGUCUCCACCUUCUAAAUGCAAGAAGGAUAAACUGGGCUUUGGCUAGCUAGAUCGGUACUCGUCCAACUUCUCUCGAGAUUGUCCGGAACCUCCUGGCUUGGGUGCAUACACCGUUUUAUGCCCCUACUGAACACCGAUCCCCACUUUCCGGUUGGUUCUAGCCUAUAUCGACCAAAAGGCGCUUUAGAUAAAGUCAUCUCGCAUACUACAGCUACCGGGCUCCAUCUCGUGAGUUACCCGAUCCCACCGGGGGUAAAGCGAAAUGGUUGGGGUCCCUUUGAGGCUUAUGUCCGGCAGUAGGAAUCAUGUCUGUCUGACUAACCCACGAUUCUAGGUUUCAGCUCUCCCUUUGUCGGGUCUAGCAUGCGAUUCCAGGGAUUCGUUAGUGAAUCACCUUUUCCUUCACUAGCUCGCUACUGUUGGUCCUCCACCCGAACCUUCGUCGGUAGGAAACUUCUUUCGCAUUAUCGAGUGACCAGAUCGAGGUACCGUGGCUUUUACAGAGUCCCGAGCUCACUAAGUGGCUUCGCUGCUCUGGAACUUUCGUCGAAAAAGUUCACAGUCAUCGCCCUGCAAGACAGUUAGCCCCUUCCAAAAACCACUGUUCUGGACCUCUAUAGUCUUCACUCUUACGACUGUACUCAUUGCUCUUUAGGACACUUUUUGUGCUAGCGGACGGUCACCUUCCGAAAGACGCAAGUCAGUUAGAUGCGUCUCACUUAGCCAGGGAUUCCUUGGGGGCUUUCCCGACGGCAGGCUACCCAUGUGCUUUCACUGCUUCAACGAAACUGAUGACUUGGUACGGACCUAGCAGCCUCGCUUAACCUACUAGCCCGGCUCCCGACGGGGGAGAAGGGGAGCGAGAGGAAAGGAAUUAUAAGUGGCAGCUCAGUAGUUUCGGCAGUUGAUUAAGUCUCCCCGAGCCGACCGGGCCAGCGGGAUGCGAUGACCGCGAAGGUUUCCGCUUCGAGAGCAGAAACCGCUGGUCGUUUGCCUCCCGAUUUUGGACAUCAAAACUUCGUUCCCUACUCGCGCUUUCGGCAACGCGAAGGCAUGUGCGCGUAUGCAAAAGAACGACCCCGC